rnacentral:lncRNA from 1 species
CGACCUAGCUGUUGUUUCGGUGCUGGGCUAGGCCUUCAUUACUGUCGUUGUGCUCCUCACGCUCACUGCAUGCAACUCAUUACACUGUUCAAAAUUAUCAUUUUGGCUCUAUAUAAAAUUGUUUAUCCUAAUUGAACGUGCACAUUGUGUCCAAUUUAUAUUGUAUUAACAAAGACAUCGUUACCAUUUACUGCAAGAUCAACACCAAGAGGGGCAAUGUCUUCAAGAGUAGAAAGAGGCCCAGUGUUUUCGUAACCCUGUUCACUUAGGAAAGAGUUGCAGCUUUCAACAAAGAAACUGAUGAUCUAAAAGUUGAGACUGCAUGGAUGAGCUAGGCUGCUUUGUCUGGACGAAAAUCAACCCUCCAAGGCUCCAACAGCCUCAUCAAACAGAAACUCGAGGAACCGGAAGCAGGGAGGAGGACCGACAGAUGAACGGAUGACCUGCUUGCUGGGCUACCCAUUACUGAUUCUUGAGAAAAAUGAGGACCACUGACUGAUGAGGGAAUUGCUUUACUGAGAUUGAUGAGCCUGCUUCAAGACAUCGUCAAGGCUCCAUCAGCCUUACCACACAGAAACUCGAGGAACCGGAAGCAGGGAGGAGGACCGACAGAUGAACGGAUGACCUGCUUGCUGGACUUCCCAUUACUGACUAUCAGAAAAAUGAGGACCACUGACUGAUGAGGGAGUUGCUCUACUGAGGCUCCAACAGCCUCAUCAAACAGAAACUCGAGAAACCGGAAGCAGGGAGGAGGACCGACAGAUGAACGGAUGACCUGCUUGUUGGGCUUCCCAUUCCUGAUUAUUAGAAAAAUGAGGACCACUGACUGAUGAGGGAAUUGCUUUACUGAGAUUGAUGAGCCUGCUUCAAGACAUCGUCAAGGCUCCAUCAGCCUUACCACACAGAAACUCGAGGAACCGGAAGCAGGGAGGAGGACCGACAGAUGAACGGAUGACCUGCUUGCUGGGCUUCCCAUUACUGACUAUCAGAAAAAUGAGGACCACUGACUGAUGAGGGAAUUGCUUUACUG